rnacentral:misc_RNA from 1 species
GAUGAAGAACGCAGCGAAAUGCGAUACGUAAUGUGAAUUGCAGAAUUCAGUGAAUCAUCGAGUCUUUGAACGCACAUUGCGCCCCCUGGUAUUCCGGGGGGCAUGCCUGUCCGAGCGUCAUUGCUGCCCUCAAGCACGGCUUGUGUGUUGGGCCUCCGUCCUCCUCCCGGUGGACGGGCCCGAAAGGCAGCGGCGGCACUGCGUCCGGUCCUCGAGCGUAUGGGGCUUCGUCACCCGCUCUUGUAGGCCCGGCCGGCGCUUGCCGACACAUCAAUCUUUUUUCCAGGUUGACCUCGGAUCAGGUAGGGAUACCCGCUGAACUUAAGCAUAUCAAUAAGCGGAGGA